rnacentral:tRNA from 1 species
AGCUUAGUUGGUCAGAGCAUUGGUGCGUAAAGCCAAAGGUCCAGGGUUCGAUUCCCGG